rnacentral:ncRNA from 1 species
AACUCUGGAGAGUCUCAAAGAACGGGCGCCGAAGGUGUACAGUGGGUAAGGAUGUUUACCCGCCUAUCUCUCAGGCAAAAGGACAGAGCU